GGGGGGGGGGAUUACAGACCUGCUGACCCUGCAUGACUUCACCCAUCAGGCAUUUUUCUGCCCACUAUUUGUGAGAAAACUGCUCCAGCUGCCUCAGGUCUUAAGGGGGUCUUCUCCAGACUGCGUGCGUGAACUCCUUCAGAUGUUCAACAAGAUUGAGAAAAAUAUUCAAAGACGGGCCACUUCUGAAUAGUCCAAUAUUUUGUUCUCUUGUUGUCCACUCCCGGGUGGUCUUUGGCUUUGUUUUGGGUCUUCAUCCUGUCGUGAGGACAGAAGACCUUGGGCAGGGACCGGACUUUGUCACGGCAGGCUGCACAAUUCUCUCCAGAAGGUCUUAAAGGACUUUUGAGAUUGUUUGGUGCAGUGCUGGGAUGCUGCAAAGCUUCCCCAGCUCAGAACUUAAGAUUAUAAUCAUAAAGCUGCACAGCAAGUACAGCGUUUUAUUCAUUUUUUUUUCGGCGUGCAAACGUAGCGCCGGUGCCACUUGCCAAAAGCUCCAUUUUUGUGUCAUCCGGCCAAAAGGACCUUCUCCGAGAAGUCGCAUUUGGGCCAAUUCCACUCUCAUUAGUUCCGAGUUGUUUUGUGUGUUUUUUCUCUCUUUCACAGAAGCGUCCCAACAAUUUCUCGUCUGGGAUGAACAAACAUUCGGUGUUGACGAACGCCAACAAUUUUCCAAGGCGUCCAGCACACAGCUGGGCCAGCAGACAUGGAAGCCGCCGCCCAGACCGCCGGCGCCGGCGCCUUCGACCCGGAGACUUUCUCCAGGAAAGCCUUGAGAGCGACCACCAGAGGGGCUUCGUCUCAUUUCGUGGGGAGCUCCAUUAUCAUCCUGUCCUCUUUCGCCGUGUCCACUCUGGCCAUGAACUGCGGGAAAAAGAUCCAGGAGACCCGGCACAAGGCCAACGACAACUGACGCGGACGCGGCCCUGCCGGCGGACGUUGCGUCUUCGCAGUUGCCGACUACGACGCGUUAUCAUACCGAUGCUGCGGAAACACGGAGCGGCAGAUGUGUCGCUUCAGAACGGCGACUGCGCGGGAUGGCUGCAAAAUCUGGCGUCCAUCUCUGGACCAGCGCCAAGGCCUCGACACCUUGCAAAGAAGGCAGCCAACCGUAUGUCGUCAUAUCGUCGCGACUCAUCCUUUAAAUUUGGCUAGAUACAGAAACGCGUAAGAUGUGAUUUUUGUGCUUGUGCGCGCGAGGACAAAAAAAGCAAAAUGGAUGUCAAAGGUAUAAAUGUGUUUCCUUUUUGAAUUGCGUCACACUUGUUUUAAUUCCUUUAACUAUGAAUUUGUUACCAAAACUGAUGAUUUGGAUCAAAAUUGAAGGGCCCGACAUAAUUGAAGCAAUCUUGUUGAGAGCAAGUUUGGACCAAUCAUGUGAUAUCCUUUUUUUUUUUUUUUUUUUCCAAAUGUGAUAAAAUGCCCUCCAACCUUAUUCACUAAAACCUUCCCAAAGUGUUCAGAGGAAGUUUUGUGUGUCUUUAAUCCGGUGAA